AUGUGCCUAACACUUGGUGCUGAAACCCGGGAUGGAGGAACUCCUACGGGAGACCAAACUGCCUGCCCCUGCUCUUUUUGUGCUCCCUCUGUGAAGAUACCUACCUACAAUCUAGGUUCAUCAGACCAGCCCACAGACCCACUUACCAUCCUCAAAUCAGCAGAGACAAGAAAGACAGGACUUUCCGUGAAGUUCAUAACUUCAAGCCUGCCUGGGUCACAGAACCAGGAAGGCAGUCUUCCCUCAGUGACUGAUCAUUGUGGAGACGUCUGUUGUGGUCAUUCACUCCCACUCGUAUGUGAUGGAUCAACACGGGAGACUCCCCCUUUGACCAAUUCAUCCCAGAUCAAGGACUCCGGUGUCUCACUUUCAAGGCUCCUCUCACGCAUCGUGGGAUGAAGCUUCCUUCAUCCAGACUAGUCCAUGCAUCCUCCACCCAGGACCUGAUGGACAUUGCUUUUAGGGUUGUGGAGCCACCAUUGAAGGUGAAUCUCAACUUGUGUCACACAGAUGGUGGUGGCCACUUCUGAGAUGGGGCUUCCUGGCUGAGAAUCCAACUCAGGACCCUUGGCUCUUUGAUGAAUGGUUCUCACUUGUGUGUUCCUGAAGCUGUGGCUACAGGUCUCAGUUCCAAGUCCCUUCUUCCCACACUCACAGCCUUUCCCAGAACUCACUCUGGCCUCCUCCAUGCUGGGAAACCAGACCCACCCUCAUGCUACCCUUCCUAGGAUCCAGCACUAACUGCCUGGAAGCUUUUCUCUGUAAACCCUCCAAAUGCAACCUCUGACAGAAAUCUGGUUGGAGCAGCCAGCAUCUUCCCAUCAAAAACCCUUGAUUUUUCUUGGAUGAAUAAGCAGAAACAAAGUAAAACAAAACACAGAGGAGGAGGGGAAGCUUCAACACAAUUUUGCUGUUGAGGAGAUAUAACUCCCAAAUUUUAUGUUUUUUUAACUUCUCUUGUUGCUUCUUAAGCAUAAUUCUUUUUUUGUGACUUAUUAAAGGAUGGAGGAAUUAAGGAGAAUCAAGAGAAUUUAUGCUUAGAAUAUAAAAAGAGAAAUGGAGACAGGAAGAGGGUGAAAUUCAUAAGCUCUUUGAAGUGGGUUGGGUUUCUCUAGCCAUGGACGCUGCAGUGCCAAGAUGCCAGGGGAGGACAUCUCUAAUUACGGUUCCAGCCCUUCAUGCCUCAGAUUCCCACAAACAAGCACACAUAUGAUACUACAUUUCUUCCCCUAAAGAGCAGGUCUACGGCCCAGCCAGGCUCUUUCUCUUAAGUAUCUUUUCUGGGUAAGUUAGAAUAAUUUUAAAAACAGUUAAAAGAAAUGAUAGCAGUGAUUUAAUAAAAAAACAAGACGUUUGAAGUUUGCAGUAUUUACAGUUUAUGCAGCAGCUUGGCGGCAGCAGAAAGGUCCCAGGUUGCUUCUAGAUUUCUGCUUUGCAUCUGUACCACUUCGACUUUUCAGUCUUGGGCUUGAUGCCUCAUGUCUCAAGAGGGCUGCAGUGGCUCUAAGCAUCAUGUCCUCCCAUAACUAUUCCAGAAAAAAAUGCAGGGCAGAGCUCUUCACCUUCCCUCUUUUUAAUGAGAAACCAAAAUCCUUCUAGACUGCCCACCCUUCACCCCCCUGACAUCUCACUGUGCGGCUGAUCCCAUAUGCCCCAAAUUCCUGCUCCUGUCCUGGGCUGGGAGAGGCUCACUGUCCUCCCCACAUGCAGCAGGACAGAGCUGGUGCCUCUGCACCAAGGGAGCGAGGAGUGACUGGGGUGUAGGUGCCAAGAGCUUUACCACAUCUUCAAUCUCACCAUAUUGCUAAGUUGCAUUGGAUGGAAAGGGGAGAUACAAAGACGCUUUAUAUCUGGUGGGACUGGAACAAACCAGGACCUGAAGAUGACAAUGAAGUCAAAUUUCUAAUUUUCCAGAUGACAAUGUUAGCGUCAUCAGUUGUGAAAAUGUGGUCUGUGAGUUUAAGACCAGGACAGACUUCCAGGUACUGUAAUAAAUGGGGAAGAGAUCUGGAAUAAGGUCCUCAAUCCAGGACUAAGGUCAGCCUUGUGCUGCCUGAGAGCUUCCGGGCACUGGCCCUGGGAUGUGGAGAAAGCACUCGUUGUCCUGAGCCAUGGGGCUGAGGACCUGGGAGGAACCAAAGGCCCUGCCCGCGGGGCUGCCUCACAGGGGCUUCAGGGAAUGAAACUGCUCACACUCCCACAGGGGCUGCAUCAAGCCCAGAGCCCACCGCCAGCGUGAAAGACACAAAGACCGGGGCUUUAGGGCUAGGCCUGCGGCCAGCUGUCCUCAGCUCUGUCCACUGCUCCUGAGUGGUUGAGACUCUGCUGGAGCCAAAGACAGAGGAAAAGCAAAUGUCCCCAGAGUCUUUAUUCAGCCAAAUGCUGUUCUGCUUAGAGAAAACAGAAGCACAUGCUAAAUAAACAUAAACAUAAACAUAAAAUAAUGUGUGUGUAGCUAUAUACGUAUUUGUAAUAUGUAAGUUUAGAUACACAUUAUAUUUAUGUGUUUACAAAUACUACAUAUCUAUAUUGUAAAUGAAUAUCAUACAUAACUUUAAUUGCUGGUAGAAUAUUAGAUUUUAAAUUUUUAUCCUGGGUUCAAAUUUCUGCUCCAACACUUGCUAACUGCACGGCUUUGGGCAUGUUCAGGCAUUUUUCAAAUCAUUUCCUCUCCUGCUAAAUAAGAGUACUGCUAAUAUUUGUAUCAUAGAAUCUGUGUGAGAAUUAAAUGAGGUGAUGUUCUAAAUAAAGGAAUAAAUUAUAUAUAUGCAUAUGUAUGUGUUAUAUAAAUUUUACAUAUCAAAUAUACAUUUUAGAUGUAAAUUAUACUGACAUAUCUAUAUAUGUUAUGUAUAUUAUGAAUAAACAUAUUUAUAUAAAUAGAUAUAACUUUAAUAACUAAUAUAAGUCAUUAACUUAAAUUUGGAUACAAAGCCAGGCGCAGUGGCUCACGCUUGUAAUCCUAGCACUUUGGGAGGCCGAGGCAGGCAGAUCACCUGAGGUCAGGAGUUUGAGACCAGCCCGGCCAACACGAUGAAACUCUGUCUCAAAAAAAAAAAAAAAAAAAAAAAAUGGAUACAUUGAGCACAAACAUUUAAAGUCAGCAGUGGUGCACCACUCCAUGGCCCCUUCCCCACCACAAAGCC
rnacentral:lncRNA from 1 species